UACAGAGGUGGCAAGCGUUGUUCGGAAUUACUGGGCGUAAAGGGCGCGUAGGCGGCUUGGUCAGUCCCGUGUGAAAUCCCUCGGCUCAACUGAGGAACUGCACGGGAAACUGCCUGGCUUGAGUUCGGGAGAGGGAAGCGGAAUUCCGGGUGUAGCGGUGAAAUGCGCAGAUAUCAGGAGGAACACCGGUGGCGAAGGCGGGUCUCUGGGCCGAUACUGACGCUGAGGAGCGAAAGCGUGGGGAGCAAACAGG
rnacentral:rRNA from 1 species